rfam:Providencia rettgeri Dmel1 chromosome, whole genome shotgun sequence.
AACUCAAUUGUGUAAUAACACACACAAAUCGACACGUGCACCGGGGUGCUCUUAUGCGUUUUUUAACGCAGCUUUGGAGUCGGUAGCAUGGGAUUUGUGGAGGCAUAAC